rnacentral:lncRNA from 1 species
UGUGUGUGUGCGUGCGUGCGUGUGUGCGUGGUUUCACCGGCAACAGCAGCGGGUCACUGGGCAAACACAUGUUCUGUUGAGGCGGUUGGUAGGGGGAGGGGUUUACCUGUGCCACGCCCACACCUCUGACCUCAUCAUCGACAGGGCCCACAGGCAGCGUCCACAGCCCAGAGGAAGGAGGACACCGGGAGGAGGCCAGAAUUCUCCGGGAGGCCAUGGCACUUCCGGUGGGCUGGUUAGGACUGCUCUAGCGGUAUGGUAACCAGGGUUUUUGAAAAGCCCCUAGCCCCCUCCCUGUCUUCAGAGGCCGGUCUGGAUCCCACAGCUGGCUGGGACCACUGCGACAGAUGUUGGGGUCAGGCCCCAGCUAGAGACCAUCCCCUCCGUCUGACAGCACAGUCUGGAAGUAUCUGCACCAGGGGGAGGAGACCUGUCACAAACAGAUACACACACACACACGCGCACACACACACACACACACACACAGACGUCUGCUCCCUGGGCCCAGCCCGCCUGUCAUCUCCCAAGGAGCGGGUGAGGAGGAGGAGGAAAGCAAACCAAUUGUCCUGCUAGCCCACUACAUCACAGAGACAAGGUCAUUACGGAAGGUUUUUCACGACCGAGAAUUUGCCGGAAGUCCAAAGCUCAGACGUGGCUACGAGACAAGACAAACAAAAUACGUGCAAAAGAGCGCUAGACAGAGGGCCACGGAGCAAGAGGGAACGCAGGUGAGAGAAAGCAAUGGAUCGCAAGAGAAACAGGGGAUGCAGCUGAGUGCGCCAGAGAGAGAGAGACCGAGAGAGGGAGGGAGGGAGGGAGGGGGAGGGAGAGGGAGGGGGCUGCAUCAGCCGGCACACGCAGGACACAGCAUCAGCAGCAGCAGCCACGGUUUAGAGCUCUAUUGUUCCCUGUUUUAUUACGGAAAGAGAGCCUGUUCUGCCUCUCCGAACCAGCCACCACACACAGAGAGAGAGAGAGAGAGAGAGAGUGUGACAGAGAGGGAGGAGUAGAGAAGAGAGAAGGGAGAACCAUUCACUCACCCGGGAUUACUUCUUGUUGAAGGGACGGUCCAGCCCUCGUGUGAGAGAGGGACAAAAGCGCAGGGAGCUCGUCCGCACAGCGUGCGUCUGUUUCCGUGUGUUUUCCGCGCGUCGACUUCCCUGCCAUUUCCCCCCCCCCCCCCCCCUUUUCAUUUGCCUAUUGGUGUGGAUACUACCGCUGCCGUCCGCCCUGCGAGAGCCAUGGGGCUGCCCGGCGGAGUGAAGGGGACGCUCAGUGUGUGGCGGGGGUCAGUCCCCUCUCUUUGGAGGCUAGCGCUGGUCCUCGUCUUGAGCUCGGGAGCCACAGAGGCACAAACUGCAGCCAGCUCCAAACCGAACGUCUAUGUAUGGCAAACAGGUAGGGCUGCUACCGCCUCCUGGUGUGUUCAUCCGGUCGGUCGCCCCACUGGGGACGGCGGGAGUGCCGAC